rnacentral:rRNA from 1 species
UACGAAGGGGGCUAGCGUUGUUCGGAUUUACUGGGCGUAAAGCGCACGUAGGCGGUUUGUUAAGUCAGAGGUGAAAUCCCGGAGCUCAACUCCGGAACUGCCUUUGAUACUGGCAAGCUAGAGUCCGGAAGAGGUAAGUGGAACUCCUAGUGUAGAGGUGGAAUUCGUAGAUAUUAGGAAGAACACCAGUGGCGAAGGCGGCUUACUGGUCCGGAACUGACGCUGAGGUGCGAAAGCGUGGGGAGCAAAC